rnacentral:pre_miRNA from 1 species
UUACUACUCCCUCCGUCCCAAAAUUAUUGUCUUAGAUUUGUGUAGAUAUGAAUGUAUGUAGUCAUAUUAUAGUAUUAGAUACAUCCAUUUGUAGAAAAAUUCAAGACAAGAAUUUUGGGACGGAGGGAGUAUAUG